UCUCUGUGAUGAUGAAAACAGAUGACGAGUCCGAUCCAUUCAUUCAUUAAAUCAUGAGGACAAAACGAGGCAUUUGUCUGAGAGAUUGAUUAAUACCCACUUCCUAAUUUUUUGUUUGUUUGUUUUAAUUUAAUGAUUUUUGGGUCAAUUUUAGGAUUGAGGAGCAGGCAUGGUGAUGAUUGUUUUAUAUUCUGAUGUUUUCUGAUGAACAUUAACCUCCUACUCAUGCUGA
rnacentral:lncRNA from 1 species